rnacentral:rRNA from 1 species
AGUGAACGCUGGCGGUAGGCCUAACACAUGCAAGUCGAACGGCAGCACAGUAAGAGCUUGCUCUUACGGGUGGCGAGUGGCGGACGGGUGAGGAAUACAUCGGAAUCUACUUUUUCGUGGGGGAUAACGUAGGGAAACUUACGCUAAUACCGCAUACGACCUACGUGUGAAAGCAGGGGAUCUUCGGACCUUGCGCGAUUGAAUGAGCCGAUGUCGGAUUAGGUAGUUGGCGGGGUAAAGGCCCACCAAGGCGACGAUCCGUCGCUGGUCUGAGAGGAUGAGCCGCCACACUGGAACUGAGACACGGCCCCGACUCCUACAGGGGGCAGCAGUGGGGAAUAUUGGACGAUGGGGGCAAGCCUGAUCCAGCAAUACCGCGUGAGUGAAGAAGGCCUUCGGCUUGUAAAGCCCUUUUGUUGGGAAAGAAAAGCAGCAGGUUAAUACCCGGCUGUUCUGACGGUACCCAAAGAAUAAGCACCGGCUAACUUCGUG